UUAUUAGUGCUGCCCGUGUCGAUGAGAACAGUGAUCGGUUGUUGUUUGAGAAGGCCUCCAACUUUCAUCGUUUGCGAGUUUGAGUAGCCAGCUAGUGUAUGUACCGUAACUUUGGUCGGUUGUGGCUCUUCUUCUGCAUCAUUUUCUUCAUGUUCAAGGCUCUCUUCUGAAUGUUCAAUGACCUCUUCUUCUAUCAGUUCAAUCAUAAGAAG
rnacentral:lncRNA from 1 species